rnacentral:rRNA from 1 species
CAGCUACCCAGCAAUGGGAUGCGAAUCUCGAAAGCCUGUCUCAGUUCGGAUUGGAGGCUGAAACCCGCCUCCAUGAAGUUGGAUUCGCUAGUAAUCGCGCAUCAGCCAUGGCGCGGUGAGUACGUUCCCGGGUCUUGUACACACCGCCCGUCACACCAUGGGAGCCGGAAAUGCCCGAAGCCAGUGACCCAACCUUAGGGAGGGAGCUGUCGAAGGUGGAGCCGGUAACUGGGGUGAAGUCGUAACAAGGUACC